AGCGAACGCUGGCGGCGUGCUUAACACAUGCAAGUCGAACGUGAAAUGUAGCAAUACAGAGUAAAGUGGCGUACGGGUGAGUAACACGUGGGUAAUCUACCAAAGUGUCUGGAAUAACCGAUCGAAAGGUUGGCUAAUACUGGAUAGUUCAAGCUUGUUAUAAUGGCAAGAUUGGGAAGGGAGCUGGCAACAGCCUUCGCAUUUUGAUGAGCUCGCGUCUGAUUAGUUAGUUGGUAAGGUAAUGGCUUACCAAGACGAAGAUCAGUAGCUGGUCUGAGAGGAUGAUCAGCCACACUGGAACUGAAACACGGUCCAGACUCCUACGGAGGCAGCAGUGGGGAAUCUUGCGCGAAUGGACGAAAGUCUGACGCAGCCACGCCGCGUGAGUGAAGAAGGCC
rnacentral:rRNA from 1 species